rnacentral:lncRNA from 1 species
CAGUAUUAUAAAGUAAAAUAAAGUAAAAAUAAAAAGUUUAAAAAAAUAAAGAAAGAAAGAAGAGCUAGCUGGGGAACUUAUAGAUGAAGAGACCUUAAAAAGUUUUUCAUGCAUGUGAAAAUAAAGGUUAAUGUGCCCUUAAGCAAGUAGCCUAGAUCUUGAUCCUAUUUCACUUGCAGUUUAAAAAUAAGAUUUGUGAGAAAUAGCAACUUUCAAAAUUUUGAUAUUUAGAGUCUUAAUUAAGUCAUACUUAAAAUCAUGUCCACAACUUUAAUUAUUUUGUAAAAUACUGUUUGCCGCCCCCUCAAAAGUAAUGGCUUACAUUUAAUUACAAUAAAAUAUUUCUCAGUCAUACAACAGUGAUUUGGAACUUGGAACCAUUCCAGCUGAAAUGUUUAUCGUUCUUAAUCCGUUCUUGGUACAUAUAUCAAGAGCAAAAAAAAAGAAAAGAAAAGAAAUUUUGCAGAAAACAGGAGCUGGAAAUAAAACAUCUCAGAUCACAAACUAUUUUUCAAGAUCCUUCACACACCUCCAGAUACUUUUCUGUAAAACUGAUACCAUCAUCCUUCAGAAAUGUUAGACCCUGAGAAGACUAAGAUGGGAUUCAUGAUCUCAAAAUUAGCCGAGAGACAUAAUAUGCACAUAUAAAUGUUAAAUUCUUUAAAUGUGACAAUGGGAGUUGUACUGUGGCUGAAACAGUUAGGAAAGAAUUUCCAGUGGUUAGGCUUAAGUCAGGAUUUUAUAAGAUCUGGACAAGCUGAAAAGGAGUUAAAGAUGAUCCUAACUGUUCUCAUCUGUUCAUAAAAGAGCUCUCUAAAGUACUACUGGAUAAAAAAAAUAUUGGUUCAGCAUUAAAUGCAGAUAUUCUUAAAGGCAAUAAAAUUGUCUAUAAUUCAGUUAUAGGAUGAAAUAGUCUAUAANNNNNNNNNNNNNNNNNNNNNNNNNNNNNNNNNNNNNNNNNNNNNNNNNNNNNNNNNNNNNNNNNNNNNNNNNNNNNNNNNNNNNNNNNNNNNNNNNNNAAGGCAAUAAAAUUGUCUAUAAUUCAGUUAUAGGAUAAAAUAGUCUAUAAUUUAGUUGUUUCAUUAAUUCAGAAGCUUAACUGUUCUUCAAUUCAACUGGCCCCAAUUCAAGCAGCUUUACCAUACAUACAGUGAUUUAUUUAUUUUUUAUUGAAAAUACAAAGUAAUAUUAAAGAAAAGUAUUUAAAUAAUUUAAAAAUCAUUCCAUAUCCCCUACACUAACACAGUGAAUUUCAGUUCUGCAUAUUACUUUCCACAUGCAUGAAGAUUUUAUAGUCAUAAUGAUAGUGUACAUAUCAUUUUAUAUUGUGUUUACUUUACUUAUCAUAUCACAGACAUGUCCAUGUUUCUACACAGUAUUCUGAACAAUUAUUUUAAUGGCAGUAUAAGACUUCACUCUUUUUAUUAACCCAACUUUCUUCUUUGACAUUUAGAUUAUUUCCAAUUUUUUGUUAUUGAAAAUAAUGGAGACAUAAGCAACCUCAUGUAUUUAUCUUUCUGUUUGAUUGUUAUGCUUUAGGUUACAAUAUCAAGGAGUAAAAUUUAUGAGGAAAAGAUAUGGUCAUUAUUAUGGCUCUUUCUAUGUAGUACCAUAUUUAUUCCCAAAGGGUUAUAUCUUUUUAAAAUGCCUUUUGAAAUGAAUACAUUAAACAGGUUCCUUCUAAAAUUUAAAAAUAAGUCAGAAGAAUUAGGUAGUUUUACAGUUACAUAUUUAAGGUUGAAAAUAAUUAUUGCCUCUUAAAAAAUGAUGAGUGUGGGUAGAUGAUCUAACAGAUUUUACUAAGUUUAGAUGAGUUAAGCAAUGCUUCCUUCCAAACUUUUCUCAAGUUAUGGCACACUGGGAAAGUGAUAUGGUGGGUGCGAUGGAGAAAAUGGACAAAGAUGCUUCUAGCCCAGAAGCUGCAGCCACCCAGACCACCUCAGGCAACCCCAAGAGAUGUGGGAUCCAUGUCUAGGCACCUCUGUCACCCAAGUGUACCAGUGUGCCUGGGAAGGGAAGCUCUAACUGACAGUGGGUUAAGUGACUCAAUCCAGUUCACAAAAUCUAGUUAGUGGAAAAUGAAUU